rnacentral:rRNA from 1 species
UAGGGAAUAUUGCAAAAUGGGCGAAAGCCCGAUGCAGCAACGCCGCGUGGGCGAUGAAGGCCUUCGGGUCGUAAAGCCCUUUUUGAGGGGAUGAGGAAGGACAGUACCCUCAGAAUAAGCCUCGGCUAACUACGUGCCAGCAGCCGCGGUAAAACGUAGGAGGCGAGCGUUAUCCGGAUUUACUGGGCGUAAAGCGCGUGCAGGCGGAUUGGAGAGUUGGAUGUGAAAGCUCCCGGCUUAACUGGGAGAGGUCGUUCAAUACUUCCAGGCUUGAGUGCAGUAGAGGGAAGUGGAAUUCCGGAUGUAGUGGUGAAAUGCGUAGAUAUCCGGAGGCACACCAGUGGCGAAAGCGGCUUCCUGGACUGUAACUGACGCUCAGACGCGAAAGCUAGGGUAGCAAACG